rnacentral:lncRNA from 1 species
GACAUAUAAAUUCAUUCCCUCUCCUUAAUUUUUGUCUCUCCUUCAGUUUCUUAGGUGAAACAUGUAGAAUUAUCACCUGAAUCUCCAAUUCCUCUUGCUCCUGCUGUGGAUCAUCAAUUCGGUGCCUUGGAAUAUGAAAAUGUGUUCUGAUAUCAGCUUUUUGAAGUAAGCUUCUUCUAGACCUCUGACUGUUCAGCUCUUCUUCUCCCUUACUGAUUGCUCCUUUAUCUUCUCUUUGUUAUUUCAGCUGAGAUCUCUGGUGGAUGGAUUUUAUCAUUGACUUUGGUGUUGAUUUGAGGGUCAAAGGUUCCUGGAGCUGAUUGCAUGUCCAGGUAUACUUCGAUCUUCUUCUCUGCACCUUGUGCUUGUUCUUUACUCUAACUUUGCGAUUUAAGAUCUGUUUGAUCAUAGAUAUUGCAGAUUUUGGAAAAAAGUUUUGAUAGAACCUAUUUGACGAUAAAAAUUAUUAAAUUUGACAAAAAAAUAAGACCUCACAAUCUAAAGCAGAUAUAUCAUUCAUUAUAAAAGUGGUGCAUAUACAUUUUCGUCGAUUAACAACUGAUGCAUAUUUAUCAUUUUUAUUAACUUGCUAUAGCAACAACAGACUCAGUGUAUCCUCACCAAGUGAGGUCUGGGGAAGUAAAAUGUACGCAGUCCAUAUCACUACCUCUGAAAAGGUAGAGAGGGCUAUUUUCGAAUGACCUCGGCUCAAAAAUGAGAAUAGUAUACCAAGACCGUAAUGAAACAUGAGACAUGAUGGAUAACAUAAAUAGAAAUAAAAGAUAAAAUAUAAUAGCAAUAAAUAUCAUAGAAUUGCAAAAUAAGAGAAAAUACGAGCAACACGAAAUAAGUAUAAGAAAACAGAUACUUUUAUUAACUUGCCUAAAUUUAGUAAAUUUGAAAAUAAUAUAAAAUUAAUUUUUUAUCAAAAAAAUGUAAUGUGACUUUAAAUAAUUAUCUCACAAAUUUUUCUUACUCUUCCAGAUCCGACCAAUGUUGACACCUAAUUUUUGCCCUCCCGAUCGGAUUCAUCCUUGAGAUUCUUUGAUUUUAAAUAAAAUUACCACAUUUAUUUUUAUCUGAAUAAGAUAUUUUUAAAAAAUUUAUCUAGGUAAUUUUGUCAUCUUAAAGUAACAAUUAUAUAUUUUCGUAUUCAUAUAUAAGAAAUCGUACAAUUUUAUUAAUUAAAUAAUUAUUUUUACAAAAAAAAUAAAAGAUUUUAAUCAAGGGUUAUAUUGGAAAUUAAAUCAAAAGGUUAAAAUUUCAACUCAAAUAUAAUUUAGUCUCAAAAAUAAUUUAUUUUAAAAAAUAUUUGUUUAAUUUUAUUUAAAUCAAGAAGCUCGGAAUUAAAUUGUCUAAAUCGUCAAUCAUUUGCUAUUUAAUAAAUAGCUAAAUCCUCAAUAUCUAAUCGGGUGAAUCUCAAAAAUAGGCCCAAAAUGAGGUGACUUUCAAAUUUUAGUCUCAAAUAAACAAGUUUUCUUAAAAUAACCUUUACCUAUUAACUAAUAUUUUUUUGGACAGAAUUGCCACUAAUCAAUGGAGUAAUUGCAUAAAUGAUAUAACAACUUCAUAUUUAUAUCUUUCAACCUUUUUUUUCUCUUUUUAAUUUACUUUGAUUUUUAUUUUUUAUUUUCUCUUUUUAUUUUUUAUUUUCUCAAUCCUUACUUUUUUCCUCUCAACUUAUUUUUUUUUCUUUUUUUUUUAUUUUUUUCCUCUUUUUUUUUUUCUUUUUUAUUUUCUCAACCCUUACUUUUUCUUAUUUACACCUUUCAACGGCUACUUUUAUAAAAAAAAAAAAAAUCUUUGAUUUUUUUUUCUUUUUUUCUUUUUAAAUGUUCCUCGACCUUUAUUUUUAUUUAAUCUUUUUUUUUUAUCAAUCUAUUUUUUUCUUCCUAUUCUCUCUCAACUUCUACAUUUUCUUUGAUUUUGAUUUUUUUGAUAUUUUUCUUUAUUUUCUUCUUUUUUCGCAAUUUUUAUUAUUUUUGUUAUUUUUUUCAAUUACUUCCAUUCAAGUUACAUUUCAUGAGCAAGAAUUGACACUAUAACAUUAUAAAGGCAAGACUUACGACUUUCGAAUAAUAAACUAUGUUUCAUGGGCAAGAGUUGACACUACUACAUUGUAGAGGCAAGACUUAUGACUUUCAAGCAACAAGUUAUGUUUUAUGGGCAAGAGUUGACACUACCACAUUGUAUGUUGAUUUAUGAGAUAUUUUAUAACUCUUAUCUUAGGGGCAAGACUUAGCUUAGGAACUUUCAAACAACAAAUUAUACCCCACGGGCAAGAGUUAACUCUGCCACGUUAUAUUUUCUUUUAUGAGAUGUUCUACAACUAUUGUCUUAGAGGCAAGACUUAACUCAAGUACUUUCAAACUACAAAUUAUGUCCCACGGGCAAAAAUUGACACUACAACGUUAUGUUUUCAUUUAUGAGAUGUUCUACAACUAUUGUCUUAGAGGCAAGAUUUGGCUCAAGGACUUUCAAACAACAAAUUAUGCCCUACGGGCAAGAGUUGACUCUACCACGUUAUGUUUUCAUUUAUAAGAUGUUCUACAACUAUUGUCUUAAAGGCAAGACUGGGCUUAUGGAGUUUCAAACUACAAACUAUGCCCCUUGGGCAAGAGUUGACUUUACCACGUUAUGUUUUUAUUUAUGAAAUGUUCUACAACUAUUGCCUUAGAGGCAAGACUUAAUUAGCUCAACAACUUUCAAACAACAAAUUAUGCCCUACGGACAAGAGUUGACUCUACCACGUUAUGUUUUCAUUUAUUAGAUGUUCUACAACUAUUGCCUUAGAGGCAAAACUUAGCUCAAAGACUUUCAAACUAUAAAUUAUGCCCCACAGGUAAGAGUUGACUCUACCAUGCUAUGUCUUCAUUUAUGAGAUGUUUUACAACUCUUGCUAGAGGCAAGACUUAGCUUAAGGACUUUCAAACAACAAAUUAUGCCCCACGGGCAAGAGUUGACUCUACUACAUUAUGUUUUCAUUUAUGAGAUGUUCUACAAUUAUUGCCUUAGAGACAAGACUUAGCUCAAGGACUUUCAAAUAACAAAUUAUGCCCCACGGGCAAGAGUUGACUCUAUCACGUUAUGUUUUUAUUUCUGAGAUGCUCUACAACUAUUGCCUUAGAGGCAAGACUUAAUUAGCUCAAAGACUUUCAAAUAACUAAUUAUGCCCCACGGGCAAAAGUUGACAUUAUCAUGUUGUGUCUUUAUUUAUGGGAUGUUCUACAACUAUUGCCUUAGAGGCAAAACUUUGCUGAAGGACUUUCAAACAACAAAUUAUGCACCACGGACAAGAGUUGACUCUACCACGUUAUGUUUUCAUUUAUGAGAUGUUCUACAAUUAUUGCCUUAGAGGCAAGAGUUACUUAGCUCAAGGACUUUCAAACAACAAAUUAUGUUCUACGGGCAAGAGUUGACUUUACCGCGUUAUAAUUUCACUUAAGAGAUGUUCUAUAAUUAUUGACUUAGAGGCAAGACUUAGCUCAAGGACUUUCAAACUACAAAUUAUACCCUACGGGCAAGAGUCGACACUACCGCAUUAUGUCUUCAUUUAUGAGAUGUUCUACAACUCUUGCCUUAGAGGCAGGACUUAGUUCAAAGACUUUCAAACUACAAAUUAUGCUUAACGGGCAAGAGUUGACUCUACCAUGUUAUGUUUUAUUUAUGGGAUAUUCUACAACACUUGCCGUAGAGGCAAGAUUUAGCUCAAGGACUUUCAAAUAAUAAAUUAUGCCCCACAGGCAAGAGUUGAUACUACCACGUUAUGUCUUCAUUUAUGGGAUGUUCUACAACUCUUGCCUUAGAGGCAAGACUUUGCUCAAGGACUUUGAAAUAAUAAAUUAUGCCUCACGGGCAAAAGUUGACACUACUACAUUAUGUCUUUAUUUAUGAGAUAUUCUACAACUCUCGCCUUAGAGACACGACUUAUCUCAAGAAUUUUUAAAGAACUUCGUAACAACAAUUCAUGCUUUAAAUUUGUUUUGAUGUCAAAAAAGCAAGAUCUCUUUGCGGAUUAUCUAAUUUUUUAUUUAUUAGCAAAAUAUAAUAGAAGUUGAGAAAAAAACAAACAACGAUCAAACAAAAUAGAGAAAUAAAAAAAAAGAUUGAGAAAAAAAAGAAAAGAAAAAAAUAAAGAUCACGAAAAAGCACAGAAUUAAAAAAAAUAAAAAUGGGAGGGAAAAUGAAAAUAAAGUUUGAGAAAAUGAGGGGAAAAAAGAGAACUAAAAAAAGAAAAAGACAAUCAAACAAAAUAGAGAAAUAAAAAAAAGAGUGAGAAAAAAAAGGCAAGAAAAAAAGAAAGAUUAAGAAAAAAGUGAAGAAUUUAAAAAGUUGAGAAAAAAAUGAGAAGAAAAAAUAAAAAUAAAGCUUGAGAAAAAUGAGGGAAAAAAAAAGAGAAUUGAUAAAAACCAAAAUUAAAAGAAAAAUAAAGGUUAAAGACAAAUGAAUUAAAAAAAAAAAAGAAAAAAGAAAUAGAUAAUGCUUGAGAAAUAAAAAGUGAAAAAAAUAAAGAUUGAGACAAAUAAAUUAAAACAUGAAAAUAUAAUUAAAGGAAAAAAAAAGUAAAAAAGUGAAAAUAAUUUAAAAAAAUAGAAUAAUAAAAUUAAAUGAAAAAAUACAAAGUGAAAAUAAUAAAAAAUAAAAUUUGAGAGAUAAAUGAGUAUGGAAAGUUUAAAAAGAUAAUUGAGGUGUAUAAGGGCAAAAUGAUACUUUUAGUAUAUUAAAAAGUAAGAAAGACUAUUAUUCAAAGAAAUUUUUAUUUGGAGUCAAAUAUCUAAAGUCACUCAUAUUUUGAUCUAUGACAUGCAAUUUUCUGUAUCUAAUCUACCCAAAAAUAGCCCAAUACCACCCCGCAUUGCCCAUUCCCUUUUCCCCUCUCCUAUUUUUUAAAUUUUGGACCAUAACAAGUGGGCCUAAUUCAACAAAAUUAACCCAAUUCCAGCCGCCCAUCAGUUCCCAGCAACAUGGGCCAACAACUCACCAGCCCAGCGACUAACAACAAUUCCACACCAGCCGCCCCAGCCCAGCAAAAUCAUCCGACCCGGCCCACUACCCUAUUCUCCCUUUUAACACCAACAACGUUCAACGUAUCCACAGCAGUAACAACCGACAGCAUCAAUAGCUGUACCAACAGCUACAAAUACCGUUCCAAGAACGACAACACCACUCAACACCGUUCAUCCUCAACCAAACGGCGUCCAACACCACCAAAACGCUAUAACGUCCAUUCCAAAAACCCAGCCAAAUCACCAUCUAUUUUUCGCCCGUUCAACCCGUUGAAGCCAACAAUGGCAGGAAAACAGUCCCCAAACGACGAUACAAAGGAAAUUGCCCUGAAUUUCGUCAUUAAUUCAAGAUAUAGAGGAGAUUCUUUGAUGAUUUUGAAUUCAAACUCCAUCCACAUGUUUGAAAAAAUAUUUUCACUUCAAAUCGGGACUUCAUCUAUAAAUACCCCUCUUUCACCAUGGAAAGGAGAGAGGAUUUUUGGUGAAAAAUUAGGGGUUGUGAAGGUGCUUGCCUUUAACCUCAUGUAACCAAAAUUCUCGACGAACACCCUCCGAAAACCGAAUUCCGGCGAAACUGUUGAACUCCGGCAAGGCCAAUCGGCGUUCCGGUGGUGAAAGUCCAUUUGUCUAAGGCUCGUUGUCCUAGUUGGCUGCCCCGAGAAAGGUAACGAUCAACCUAAAGAUUUUUACGUGAUCAUGCUCUGUAUUGCUUAAGAUUCUCAAAUUGCCAUUUUCUAUCAUUUUUUUUUUUGGAAAAAAGGGUCUUCUUUCUGUUCUUUUUGUUCAUGGUUUUGUUCUUGUUGUGCAAAGGGGGCCCAUUUUGUUUGCUUUCUUUUUCUCAGGUGUAGUCUCGUAUAGAGUAAGGGUCAUAUGAAUGCUUCAAUUAUUUACUGCAACUUGUUGUGUUGAGACGUGAAGACCUUAAUCUUCUAGUGACCUUAAUCUUCUAAACAAGAGUAUCAUGAAUUUUGAGAUAGAGUAAAAUAAGUUCCAUGGAAAAUAACGUUAUAUGGCAUGUUCGUCUUGAUUGGGACUAGAAUUUCUUAAAUCAAAUCUUCUGCUCAUAUGGGCUAUUUGAAAGUUUCUUGAAAGUAGUUUCUCCGCUGUUAUGAGAAUGCAUUUUUUUAGUAUUUCUUUUUUUUUUUUUUCUUUAAAACGUGCCGAAGUUGUGAACGACGGGGUGUUUUUCUUGUGUACGAGCAGCUGAAAAUAGGGGUUCAUGAUAGCCUAAUUCUGUUUCGAAAAUUCUGUUUUUAACUAAUGCAGUGUGACUGUAUGAUUGGCCUUUACUGCUGCAAAGUGUUUGGGGUAUUGUAUUACCCAUACUCAUAAUGGGCCAUAAGUGCAAACUUUAUUAUUUGUAUCCUAGUUUGAUCAUCACUUUCCUACGUGGAUCACGAGUAGAGUAAAAUUAUUCUGUUGUUGCCUUUAAUAAUGAAUAACCAAAGGGUCUUUUGCUUUGUUUUUUUCUGAAUGUUGUCAUUUGUGCGAGUUAAUCACGAUACCAAUGAGUUUGAAGAUGUAGCUUUACUGCUAUAGAUAUCUCUCUGUCAUGUUUUGGAAUACAUAAAUUUGUUUGAAUCCUUUGAUCACAUUUAGAUGUUUAAUUGAGUAAUUCUCUCAUACACUAAUCCUUUAAUUCUUUUCUUGUGCAUGAACUCCUUUGAGUCCGUUUUGGACUCUUUACUUGCAUCCUUGUUGGGCCCAACCUCCAUCGAGUCAAAGCCUCAAUCGAAUUCACAAAUGGACUUAUAUAUGCAUAAACAAGCUGGUAUACCGUUGUAUACAGAUGAUAUACAUUAGAAGGCAGCAGCUGCGCGUUAUACCGUUGUUUAUGAUGAAAAAUGGAGUCACAAUAUGCAGCUUACCGCACUGAUAUAACCGUAUACGCAGCGGUAUACACAAAAACGCAUGAAAUAAGCUGCUGAUAUACAGCAGAUAUACAGGGGCGAAAAAUGGACUAAAGUCCAUGGAAUUGAUCCAAUGGACAGUUUUUUUUUGGGCCAAAGGGGCCCAAUUCUCACUCUUUUUUCUUUAAUUAUCCAUUCUAAAUUAUUUAUUUGUAUUUGCUUGAACAUGUUAAUCAAUUAAUCUAAAUAAAUCCCCAAGAUAUCGCCA